rnacentral:rRNA from 1 species
AUUGAACGCUGGCGGCAUGCCUUACACAUGCAAGUCGAACGGUAACUGGCCGCAAGGUGCUGACGAGUGGCGAACGGGUGAGUAAUGCAUCGGAACGUGCCCAGUAGUGGGGGAUAGCCCGGCGAAAGCCGGAUUAAUACCGCAUACGACCUGAGGGUGAAAGGGGGGGAUCGCAAGACCUCUCGCUAUUGGAGCGGCCGAUGUCAGAUUAGCUAGUUGGUGGGGUAAAGGCCUACCAAGGCAACGAUCUGUAGUUGGUCUGAGAGGACGACCAGCCACACUGGGACUGAGACACGGCCCAGACUCCUACGGGAGGCAGCAGUGGGGAAUUUUGGACAAUGGGCGCAAGCCUGAUCCAGCAAUGCCGCGUGCAGGAAGAAGGCCUUCGGGUUGUAAACUGCUUUUGUCAGGGAAGAAAUCUUCUGGGUUAAUACCUCGGGAGGAUGACGGUACCUGAAGAAUAAGCACCGGCUAACUACGUGCCAGCCGCCGCCGUAAGAC